UACGUAGGGGGCAAGCGUUGUCCGGAAUUAUUGGGCGUAAAGCGCGUGUAGGCGGUCCGGUAAGUCGGCUGUGAAAGUCCAGGGCUCAACCCUGGGAUGCCGGUCGAUACUGCCGGACUAGAGUUCGGAAGAGGAGAAUGGAAUUCCUGGUGUAGCGGUGAAAUGCGCAGAUAUCAGGAAGAACACCCGUGGCGAAGGCGGUUCUCUGGGACGGUACUGACGCUGAGACGCGAAAGCGUGGGGAGCGAACAGG
rnacentral:rRNA from 1 species